GAUGAAGAACGUAGCGAAAUGGGAUAAGUAAUGCGAAUUGCAGAAUUCAGUGAAUCAUCGAAUCUUUGAACGCACAUUGCGCCCGCCAGUAUUCUGGCGAGCAUGCCUGUUCGAGCGUCAUUUCAACCAUCAAGCCCCAGGCUUGUGUUGGAGCCCUGCGGCUGCCGCAGCCUCCCAAAACCAGUGGCGGGCUCGCUAUCACACCGAGUGCAGUAGUUUACUCUUCGCUCAGGGCGUGUGGCGGGUGCUAGCCGUGAAACCCCCAACUUCUCAAGGUUGACCUCGGAUCAGGCAGGAAUACCCGCUGAACUUAAGCAUAUCAAUAAGCGGAGGA
rnacentral:misc_RNA from 1 species